CCAGGAACAACUGAUGGGGGCACUUCCAAGUGAUCAAGAGGAUGAAGAGGUCCCAUUUAAAGCCAAGGUGGCCCCAGGAGAAAGUCAAACUGCUGGAACCCCUAAGGGCCUGCUGGAUGAGUCCCCCAGUGAGAGGGAAGAUGAGGAGGUUCCAUCAAAUUCCAAGGUGGCUUCAGGAGUAAGUGAAAAUGCUCCCCCUGAGGGCCUGCUGGAGGAACUCCUAAGUGCCGAGGCCAUAGAGCACACUCCAUUUACUUACACCAAGGUAAGGCCAACUUUCUUUAUCUGAGAUAGAACCAUUGCAUUCUUGGUUUCUUUCAUUUCUCAUCCAAUUCAGUUAUGAAAAUUUGACCACGUACAAUAUAGAUGAGAGGUUCAAAUGCUUGGUGGGUCAGUGUUCAGUGGGC
rnacentral:lncRNA from 1 species